ACCAGACUUGGGCUUGGUUGAUCAUCCAGGGUUCUCCCUGGUGCACUCUUCCAGCCCAGGCCAGCAUCGGUUUCCGGGGUGGGAUAAAGGCGGUGGGAAUGUGGCUCUUCGGAGUGUUAUAGCCCAUCGUGCAAUGCCGCCACCGGGGACCGAGGACCGCGCUUCGGCUAGGAUGCUGGCGUAAUGGUUGUAAGCGA
rnacentral:rRNA from 1 species